rnacentral:rRNA from 1 species
UACGUAGGUGGCAAGCGUUGUCCGGAAUCAUUGGGCGUAAAGCGCACGUAGGCGGUCUGUUAUGUCGGAUGUGAAAGCCCUCGGCUCAACUGAGGAAGUGCAUCCGAAACUGGCAGGCUAGAGUACUAAAGAGGGUCGCGGAAUUCCCGGUGUAGAGGUGAAAUUCGUAGAUAUCGGGAGGAACACCGGUGGCGAAGGCGGCGACCUGGGUAGAUACUGACGCUGAGGUGCGAAAGCGUGGGGAGCAAACAGG